rnacentral:rRNA from 1 species
CCUACGGGAGGCAGCAGUGAGGAAUAUUGGUCAAUGGCCGUAAGGCUGAACCAGCCAAGUCGCGUGCAGGAUGACGGCUCUAUGGGUUGUAAACUUCUUUUAUAGGGGAAUAAAGGUCUCCACGUGUGGAUAUUUGCAUGUACCCUAUGAAUAAGCAUCGGCUAACUCCGUGCCAGCAGCCGCGGUAAUACGGAGGAUCCGAGCGUUAUCCGGGUUUAUUGGGUUUAAAGGGUGCGUAGGUUGUUUUUUAAGUCAGCGGGGAAAGUUUGUGGCUCAACCAUAAAAAUUGCCGUGGAAACUGGAAGACUUGAGUGUGUGUGAGGUAGGCGGAAUGCGUGGUGUAGCGGUGAAAUGCAUAGAUAUCACGAAGAACUCCGAUUGCGAAGGCAGCUUACUAAGGCGUAACUGACACUGAAGCACGAAAGCGUGGGGAUCAAACAGGAUUAGAUACCCCAGUAGUC